rnacentral:rRNA from 1 species
AAUAGAUACCCCGGUAGUCCACGCCAUAAACGAUGAGUGCUAAGUGUUAGGGGGUUUCCGCCCCUUAGUGCUGCAGCUAACGCAUUAAGCACUCCGCCUGGGGAGUACGGUCGCAAGACUGAAACUCAAAGGAAUUGACGGGGGCCCGCACAAGCGGUGGAGCAUGUGGUUUAAUUCGAAGCAACGCGAAGAACCUUACCAGGUCUUGACAUCCCAUUGACCACUAUGGAGACAUAGUUUUCCCUUCGGGGACAACGGUGACAGGUGGUGCAUGGUUGUCGUCAGCUCGUGUCGUGAGAUGUUGGGUUAAGUCCCGCAACGAGCGCAACCCUUGUUCUUAGUUGCCAUCAUUUAGUUGGGCACUCUAAGGAGACUGCCGGUGACAAACCGGAGGAAGGUGGGGAUGACGUCAAAUCAUCAUGCCCCUUAUGACCUGGGCUACACACGUGCUACAAUGGACGGUCAAACGGUUGCCAACCCGCGAGGGGAGCUAAUCCGAUAAAACCGUUCUCAGUUCGGAUUGUAGGCUGCAACUCGCCUACAUGGAAC